UUAACCUGGCCUUGACAUACUAAGAACUUUCCAGAGAUGGAUUGGUGCCUUCGGGAACUUAGAUACAGGUGCUGCAUGGCUGUCGUCAGCUCGUGUCGUGAGAUGUUGGGUUAAGUCCCGCAACGAGCGCAACCCUUUUCCUUAUUUGCCAGCGGGUUAAGCCGGGAACUUUAAGGAUACUGCCAGUGACAAACUGGAGGAAGGCGGGGACGACGUCAAGUCAUCAUGGCCCUUACGGCCAGGGCUACACACGUGCUACAAUGGUCGGUACAAAGGGUUGCUACCUCGCGAGAGGAUGCUAAUCUCAAAAAGCCGAUCGUAGUCCGGAUCGCAGUCUGCAACUCGACUGCGUGAAGUCGGAAUCGCUAGUAAUCGCGGAUCAGAAUGCCGCGGUGAAUACGUUCCCGGGCCUUGUACACACCGCCCGUCACACCAUGGGAGUUUGUUGCACCAGAAGUAGGUAGUCUAACCGCAAGGAGGACGCUUACCACGGUGUGGCCGAUGACUGGGGUGAAGUCGUAACAAGGUAAGCGUAGAUGA
rnacentral:rRNA from 1 species